rnacentral:misc_RNA from 1 species
ACCUACUGUUUAAUUUUGAGGGUUCGUUUUUACGAAUACUCAAAAUUAGCACUUUUAGCAACAGAAUAAACUGAACGCAUGUGAAGUUUGUUUGUUGGCGCUGUGCGUUAGCACUUUAAGCAACGGGAUUUAUCCGUUGGCGCCGUGCGUUAGCACUUUGAAAACUGCAUAUAUAUUUAGUGAUAUGACAUCUAAUUUGUAAUAUAUAAAGCUGAUAACUUUUUAAAAUUAUCGAAGUUGAUAGCUUCUAAUCUAUCAAACCUUUUUAACUGGUCAA